rnacentral:lncRNA from 1 species
UCCUAUAGGCGGUGCGGGCAGGAGGAGGUGCGGCGCGGCUUAUGUAGGCGAGGGGGAGGCGUGGUUGUCGCUGUCGAAUAGGACGUGGCCGGGAGGCUCACCGGUCGGAAGGAAGAAAAGCAGAGGUAGAAGAGAGAGCUGUGAGACAAAGCGCAUUCCGGGAUUUUACGCUUUCGCUGCGGGGAGACGGGAAGCGGGCGCGCGCAGAAGAAUGCUGGGCGGCUGGGCCGACUGGGCUGCGGGGCUGCGCGGGGGAAGGGGGCCGCGAGGCCUGCGCUGCUGGCCGGCUUGCUCGCGCGCGCGGGAGGAAGGCGGGCCGAGGCGGCUAGGCCGGCUCGGGCCAAGUGAGCAGGUAAGGUUUUUGUUUUUGUUUUUCCCUUUUCUAUUUUCUGUUUUUGCAAAUGCUUUUGGAUUCAGAUUUCAAAUACCAUUUUGAAAAGCUGAGAAGUAGUAGAAUUCAAAUAUGGUACUAGUAUUUGGAAAUAUUCAAAUGGGGUUUAAGGUUUAAGACAAAACCCAUUUGAAUCUCAUUUGAAAAAUAGAGGGAAAAUAAUUCAAACUCAAAGGAGAGUGAUUCAUAUUUGAAUCUUCUAACAAAAAAAAACACAACAAGAAUUCAAACCACAAUUUGAGAUGCAAAUUUAAAACUCAUGUGACACAAAUAAUAGACAUGGCAUGGCAUGGAUGCAAAUGUAAUUGUCAUGCAGCAUUUAAAUAAAUUACAAAC